GCAGGAAAACAUGACUUAGAGAUGUCUUGUGAACAUCAAUUUUUUGAAGUCAAUCAUAAAGUGUUUCAAGUGGUUUCUUUAAGGAUACACAAACACAGAGGAAACCCACAGUCGAGAACCUACAACUUCAGUAAAUCAGUAAACAGGAUCAUUACUUCUAAGUGUUUCAGAUUCUGAAUCAAGUGUUUCAUUCAAUUUUCCAAGUGGAAUAAUGCAUAUAGAGGAGAAUGCCAAACUGCAAAUAACCUGUAUUAGAAUGGCGUUCACAGUGCUUACGGCACUACAGUGAGACUGGCACUGCCAGUCAUCCUUCUUGCCCAUUUUGAAGACUGGGACAAUGUUAGCCAGCUUCCAGUCAGCUGGGACCUCUCCAGAUCCCCAAGACCAUUCAAAAAACAUUGACAGAGGCUUCACAAUGACAUCAGCUAGGUUUUUUGAGGAUUCUCAGUCAUACCCAUCAAGUCUGGUCAGUGCCAUUGAAGUACCCAUGAGCUGGUGCAGGAAUUAAGUGGGUCCCUGCGAAAAACAUCAAACCAUAUCACUCCCAAGAAUGUGUUGAUGAGUCCAGGACUGUAGAAGCAAAUAUGCAGAUGUGAGCUGAACAGAGAGAUCACGGGUCACGCCUGGCAUUCCUUGUUCAUCGCUGGAACCUACAGUCUUCUGAUUUUAUGCUAUUUAUAGGUGUGUUUUUUGUUUUGUAGAGUUCUUUUUGGCAAAAACGGGGCCAAAAAGUUAUGUUACGUUAUAGAUCCCCUCUAUUGGAUUUUCAAAGGUGAAAUUUUAUUUUAAGGUCAAAAUCAACAUUUCUAAAUUGGUAUAUAUGGGUGGAAUUUUUGCCAAAAAUUAGCUCACGAAAAGGAAUGGAGCUUUGCACCUUGGCUAAAGAAUCUGUAAAAAAGGUUUAUAUGUGUUAGGUGUUUUAGUAGCAAUACUAGCAGUAAUACUGUGCAUACUUUGGUGUGUGUGACAAAUGAUGGACAAAGCUAUCAAAAAAGUUUUUAUCAUACAAGAGAGAGAGAUAGGAAAUGGAUUCACAGAGGGCUCUCGAAAUCUUACAGAGAUAGUGGAUGAAGGUAGAGAGAUGGAGGAAGGCUUUGAAUUAAGACCUUGGAACCAGCAAGACUUUUUUGAACAAUGACUUGUAAUUGCUAUCACACAUGACUUAUGCACUUUGAAUUGACUGGACCUUCAUAGCAUUAAAAUUGCUGUGUUGUAAUAUAGCCAUGCUUAAUGUGAGCAAAAAUGAUGCUUUAAGCAAGUAAUAAGCAGAUGUAUUAUACGAAAGCUAUGAAAUGCAAUGUCGUUAAUAAACGACAAGGUUAUGACAGCUUCUUUUUAGUUGAACCGAGAGGGGGAAUUGUGGGAUUCCUUAAAAUCAGAGCAUUUUGGGCACGUUGCAAAAGGCAGGCCUCAGACACAGCACGAUGGUGAUUAGAGCUAAGCAGUAGCUAUAAGAUUUGUCAGCAGAAAGAUUAUACAAGAAGUAGAAAGAAAGGAGAAAUAAAAAAAUUGUCUGUGUAUUAACACUUGGGUAGAAUAACUCCCCUAAGUUGCAGGAAAGUAUAUCUGGUGAGAUAUUAGGAAGUUCUAAGCUUAAUAAUGGAGCUCUGUGCGUUGUAUCUUAAGGUUUACAAGCAAGCAUUGUAUUUGAAAUAAGCAAGCAUUGUUUUAACCAAAGGUACUUGUGCUUACAGUGGUUGGAUAGAAGUACUGUCAAUAUGCUUUUGUUUUGUGUGAUUGGUCAAAAAGCUUUUAAAAUAAGUUGUAACAUUAAGUUCUUGGUCUGCUGCCUGGGAUGUGAGCUGCUGGCAUCUUUCCACUCUCAUAACCAUGUAAUGAGACCGAUGCUAAGAAAUAAACAUCUCAAGACGCGU